GAAGUGGGUGAAAAGCCCACACGGUCCCGCCACUGUAAGCGGGGAGCGCACGUCUGACGGUUUGCAGCCAGCCACUGGGCUCGCGGCGGUUCGACACCCGCCGCGCCACAGACAGCCUGGGAAGGCGAGACGCGCGCGUCGAUCCGCAAGUCAGGAAA
rnacentral:ncRNA from 2 species